GUGUGAUGGCUCGAGAUGUGUGGCAGGUGCGUGAGGACGGAGAGGAGGACCUGCUUCUCUUAUUGCAUGGCAUAAGAUCCCCCAGUGAAUCAACGAGUCAGUAACCCUCAAGGAGAAGCAAUUCUUUUUCCUUGAAGCAAAAACUGGGGCGUCUGAUCACGUGGGAAGACAGUGAGUGGCCUCCCGUCUUCGGCUGAGUCGAGGAGGCACGGAGAAACUGGCUUCAUGAAACUGUCCCGUCACUCUUACCGAGUGUACGCUAAACGAACGAUUGGUCCUGUUGCCGUUGACACAGAUGAUGCACUCGUGAAACUACUACUACAGUGAAACUACAUCUACAGUGAAACUACUACCACUACAAUGUGUAAGGAGCUACCAGCGGCUGCCGCUUUUAUUCCUGUGCACACGUGGCUGACUGGGCUGUUUUCCGAACAGGAAAUUGUAAGACUCGUGGAUUAGCAGUGUUGCUGAUUAAGGAGCAGUUUGUUCUUAAGAGUUCGAGAGACUCUUCCU